rnacentral:rRNA from 1 species
GACGAACGCUGGCGGCGUGCUUAACACAUGCCAGUCGAACGGAAAGGCCCUGCUUUUGUGGGGUGCUCGAGUGGCGAACGGGUGAGUAACACGUGAGUAACCUGCCCUUGACUUUGGGAUAACUUCAGGAAACUGGGGCUAAUACCGGAUAGGAGCUCCUGCUGCAUGGUGGGGGUUGGAAAGUUUCGGCGGUUGGGGAUGGACUCGCGGCUUAUCAGCUUGUUGGUGGGGUAGUGGCUUACCAAGGCUUUGACGGGUAGCCGGCCUGAGAGGGUGACCGGCGGCGCAGGGGAGGGGAAUGGGCGGAGCAGCGUGGGGGCGGCAGAGGUGGGGAGUAGAGCACAGGGGGCGGAAGCGGGAUGAGGCAGCGCGGGGGGGGGGAUGACGGGCUUCGGGUUGUAAGCGGCGCUCCGGCGUGACGAGGGGUGAGGGACGGUAAGGGGAAAAGAAGCAUCGGACAACGACGGGACAGAGGCCGCGGUAAUAGUCGGAAGAGCAGACGUCUGACC